UGAUUAAUAUUGGACAAUGGGCGCACGCCCGAUCCAGCCAUGCCGCGUGCAGGAUGAAGGCCUUCGGGUUGUAAACUGCUUUUGUACGGAACGAAAAGUCUCUUUCUAAUAAAGAGGGAUCAUGACGGUACCGUAAGAAUAAGCACCGGCUAACUACGUGCCAGCAGCCGCGGUAAUACGUAGGGUGCAAGCGUUAAUCGGAAUUACUGGGCGUAAAGCGUGCGCAGGCGGUUAUGCAAGACAGAUGUGAAAUCCCCGGGCUCAACCUGGGAACUGCAUUUGUGACUGCAAGGCUGGAGUGCGGCAGAGGGGGAUGGAAUUCCGCGUGUAGCAGUGAAAUGCGUAGAUAUGCGGAGGAACACCGAUGGCGAAGGCAAUUCCCUGGGCCUGCACUGACGCUCAUGCACGAAAGCGUGGGGAGCAAACA
rnacentral:rRNA from 1 species